UUGGUCCCUCCCCGCAGGACGAGGUCGCUCACACGGUGACCGAGAGCCGCGUCCUGCAGAGCUCGCGCCACCCCUUCCUGACCGCGCUGAAGUACGCGUUCCAGACCAACGACCGCCUCUGCUUCGUGAUGGAGUACGCCAACGGCGGGGAGUUGUUUUUCCACCUCUCCCGGGAGCGGGUUUUUUCCC